GAUGAACGCUGGCGGCGUGCCUAAUACAUGCAAGUCGAGCGAACAGAUAAGGAGCUUGCUCCUUUGACGUUAGCGGCGGACGGGUGAGUAACACGUGGGUAACUUACCUAUAAGACUGGAAUAACUCCGGGAAACCGGGGCUAAUGCCGGAUAACAUGUUGAACCGCAUGGUUCUACAGUGAAAGGCGGCUUUGCUGUCACUUAUAGAUGGACCCGCGCCGUAUUAGCUAGUUGGUGAGGUGACGGCUCACCAAGGCAACGAUACGUAGCCGACCUGAGAGGGUGAUCGGCCACACUGGAACUGAGACACGGUCCAGACUCCUACGGGAGGCAGCAGUAGGGAAUCUUCCGCAAUGGGCGAAAGCCUGACGGAGCAACGCCGCGUGAGUGAUGAAGGUCUUCGGAUCGUAAAACUCUGUUAUUAGGGAAGAACAAAUGCGUAAGUAACUGUGCGCGUCUUGACGGUACCUAAUCAGAAAGCCACGGCUAACUACGUG
rnacentral:rRNA from 1 species